GUGCUCGCUUCGGCAGGAUGUAUACUAAAAUUGGAACGAUACAGAGAAGAUUAGUAUGGCCCCUGUGCAAGGAUAACAUGCAAAUUCAUGAAGUGUUCUAUACUUUU